rnacentral:rRNA from 1 species
UGGAUAGUGGCGUAAGGGUGAGUAACGGAUAGGUAACGUACCCUAUGCUCCGGAAUAGCGUCGUUUGCCUUCGGGCAAACUUCCGAAAGGGGCGGUAAUACCGGAUAAUAUCAUUUGUCGACGGACUUAUGAUCAAAGAUUUAUCGGCAAAGGAGCGGCCUGUCUCCUAUCAGCUUGUUGGUGAGGUAACGGCUCACCAAGGCACAGACGGGUAGCGGGACUGAGAGGUCGGCCCGCCACAUCGGGACUGAGACACUGCCCGGACCUCCACGGAGGGCUGCAGUAACGAAUAUUGCGCAAUGGGCGAAAGCCUGACGCAGCGACGCCGCGUGCGGGAUGAAGUCUCUCGGGAUGUAAACCGCUGUCAGGGAUAAGAAAGUCCGCUUCGGCGGAUUGAUCUAACCCAAAGGAAGUCACGGCUAACUUCGUGCCAGCAGCCGCGGUAAGACGAAGGUGGCUAGCGUUGUUCGGUGUCACUGGGCUUAAAGGGUGUGUAGGCGGAAAGGUAAGCGUCCUGUGAAAGCCCCCGGCUUAACCGGGGAAUUGCGCGACGUACUGCCUUUCUUGAGGCAAGUAGGGGUGCACGGAACUCUUGGUGGAGCGGUGGAAUGCGUAGAUAUCAAGAGGAACGCCGGCGGUGAAAACGGUGCACUGGGCUUGUCCUGACGCUGAGACACGAAAGCGUGGGGAGCGAACGGGAUUAGAUACCCCGGUAGU